AUACGGAGGAUCCGAGCGUUAUCCGGAUUUAUUGGGUUUAAAGGGUGCGCAGGCGGCCAUUUAAGUCAGCGGUUAAAUCGUGGGGCUCAACCCCAUUCUGCCGUUGAUACUGGGUGGCUUGAUUGCGGUCGAGGUUGGCGGAAUUCGUUGUGUAGCGGUGAAAUGCAUAGAUAUGACGAAGAACACCGAUUGCGUAGGCAGCUGACCAGACCGCAAAUGACGCUCAUGCACGAAAGUGCGGGGAUCGAACAGGAUUAGAUACCCUGGUAGUCCGCACAGUAAACGAUGAAUGCUUGUUUUCGGCGAUAUAAUGUCGGAGGCAAAGCGAAAGCGAUAAGUAUUCCGCCUGGGGAGUACGCCGGCAACGGUGAAACUCAAAUGAAUUGACGGGG
rnacentral:rRNA from 1 species